UGAAAAAGCAAGGGGUGCCUAUUUGGGCUGAGAAAACACCCUUUGAACCUGACCUGGGUAAUGCCAGCGUAGGGAAUGGCGAUUGCUGUUUUU
rnacentral:ncRNA from 2 species